UGGGGAAUAUUGGACAAUGGGCGCAAGCCUGAUCCAGCCAUGCCGCGUGAGUGAUGAAGGCCUUAGGGUUGUAAAGCUCUUUCAGUGGGGAAGAUAAUGACGGUACCCACAGAAGAAGCCCCGGCUAACUUCGUGCCAGCAGCCGCGGUAAUACGAAGGGGGCUAGCGUUGUUCGGAUUUACUGGGCGUAAAGCGCACGUAGGCGGAUUGUUAAGUGAGGGGUGAAAUCCUGGAGCUCAACUCCAGAACUGCCUUUCAUACUGGCAAUCUAGAGUCCGGAAGAGGUAAGUGGAACUCCUAGUGUAGAGGUGGAAUUCGUAGAUAUUAGGAAGAACACCAGUGGCGAAGGCGGCUUACUGGUCCGGUACUGACGCUGAGGUGCGAAAGCGUGGGGAGCAAACA
rnacentral:rRNA from 1 species